rnacentral:rRNA from 1 species
GAGGAAUAUUGGUCAAUGGACGGAAGUCUGAACCAGCCAAGUAGCGUGCAGGAUGACGGCCCUCUGGGUUGUAAACUGCUUUUAGUUGGGAAUAAAAAAGAGGACGUGUCCUCUAUUGUAUGUACCUUCAGAAAAAGGACCGGCUAAUUCCGUGCCAGCAGCCGCGGUAAUACGGAAGGUCCAGGCGUUAUCCGGAUUUAUUGGGUUUAAAGGGAGCGUAGGCGGAUUAUUAAGUCAGUGGUGAAAGACGGUGGCUCAACCAUCGUUAGCCAUUGAAACUGGUAGUCUUGAGUGCAGACAGGGAUGCUGGAACUCGUGGUGUAGCGGUGAAAUGCUUAGAUAUCACGAUGAACUCCGAUCGCGAAGGCAGGUGUCCGGGCUGCAACUGACGCUGAGGCUCGAAAGUGUGGGUAUCAAACAGGAUUAGAUACCCUGGUAGUCCACACAGUAAACGAUGUAUACUCGCGGUUUGCGAUAUAUUGUAAGCCGCCAAGCGAAAGCAUUAAGUAUACCACCUGGGGAGUACGCCGGCAACGGUG